GGAGGAGAGAGACUCCUGGGCUCAAGUCACUUCCAAAGUAAAGGAAUUUAACACAGACCCGAAUUGUGUGCGGAGCGGAGGGGCGAGGAGUGGGGACGGGGAAGGAAAAUUUGACCAGAAAGGACAGAUGAAUAAAUUGAUUUUGUAGGUUCUCAAAUCCUUCACUUUAACCUCAGGGAAACUGAGGCACAGGCAAGGUAGCUGACUCGCCCAAGGCCACACAUGUAGAACCCAGACCUGUUAACUUUAGGGAGACUCUCUGCUCUGGCUUCUGCAAGAACUAUCCUAGCAUCCUGGCUCUGUCGAUCCGCCGCGCGCCCCGGGCCCCGACCCCGCGCACGGCUCAAGCCCAGCCCCGCGGAGCAGCCCGCCCGGGGGUCCCCCAUCCUCUGAGGCAAGCCCGCCCGGUGAGGGGCGAGGACCAGGGUCAGGGGUGAGGCGGGGCCCUGGAGGCCGGGGGCGGGGGUUACCUGCGCCGGGCAGCGCCGCGCUCUCCCGCGAGGUCUGCAGCCCCGGAGCAGGGACGCCGGGUCCCCGGCAGCCCGGCCCGCCCCCGAGGCCCCGCCGCCCGCCGCGCUCCCGCCGCCGGGCCCGCCCGCCGCGCGGCCGCCGAGGCCGUUGUGGCCUCUCCCUCGCCGCCCGCCCCGGCCCGCCGCGCCGCCGCCGGUUGCCAUGGGGACGCGGCCGGAAUCGCCGCCGCCGGGCUGGGGGGCGGGGUGAGUAGUCUCCGCAACCGCGGCGGGAGGACCGGCGGGAGGCGGCGGCGGCGGGCGCGGCCUGGCGGGGCUCCCGGAUGCUCAGGAGUACCAUGUGACACAAGUGUAAGAGGUGUUAUUAUAGCUCGUUUUACACAGAUUAAGAGCCGAAGGCUUAGAGAGAAGAAAGAAUUUGUCCAAGAUGAUACAUCUAGUUCAAGUGCCGCUAAGAUCUUUUCAGGUGAAAUCGUUUUGAAAGGGAGGAGGAGAGCAGGAAGUGCCUGA
rnacentral:lncRNA from 1 species